CCCUCCUCUUGGCUUAGUUGCAUUGAACGUUCUUAGGUAUUUAAGAGAUGUUUUGUUUGCUGCACUAAGAAAAUGUACUCCAGAAUUACAAGCAGGAGUAAAAUGUACGUAGCAGUAGAAAACUAACUCAUUAUGAAACUGCAUUUUACUAUCAUGUGACAAUGUUGAAAUUUCUUGAACAUCUUGAUGUCUAAUGUGAUGGCAGGUGAUUGAUUUUGGCUACAAGUACAUCACUGAAAACUCCUGAAGUCUACUAUAACUUUGUCUAAUGUGAUGACAGGUGAUUGAUUUUGGCUACAAGUACAUCACUGAAAACUCCUGGAGUCUACUGUAACUUUGUCUAAUGUGAUGACAGGUGAUUGAUUUUGGCUGCAAGUACAUCACUGAAAACUCCUGAAGUCUACUAUAACUUUGUCUAAUGUGAUGGCAGGUGAUUGAUUUUGGCUACAAGUACAUCAUUGAAAACUCCUGGAGUCUACUGUAACUUUGUCUAAUGUGAUGGCAGGUGAUUGAUUUUGGCUACAAGUACAUCACUGAAAACUCCUGAAGUCUACUGUAACUUUGUCUAAUGUGAUGGCAGGUGAUUGAUUUUGGCUGCAAGUACAUCGCUGAAAACUCCUGAAGUCUACUGUAACUGUCUAAUGUGAUGACAGGUGCCUGAUUUUGGCUACAAGUACAUCACUGAAAACUCCUGGAGUCUACUGUAACUUUGUCUAAUGUGAUGGCAGGUGAUUGAUUUUGGCUACAAGUACAUCACUGAAAACUCCUGAAGUCUACUGUAACUUUGUCUAAUGUGAUGGCAGGGGACAGAUUUUGGCUGCAAGUACAUCACUGAAUCUACAACUUUCCUCUGAGUGGUGACCAACUCUGUAUCCUUGGCAGGU